rnacentral:SRP_RNA from 1 species
GCUGGGUGUGGUGGCGGGCACCUGUAGUCCCAGCUACUCUGGAGGCUGAGGCAGGAGAAUCACUUGAACCUGGGAAGUGGAGGUUGCAGUGAGCUGAGAUCAUGCCACUGCAUUCCAGCCUGGGCAACAGAGUGAGACCCUGUCUCAA